rnacentral:rRNA from 1 species
CGCGUAGGCGGUCUAUCAAGUCGCAUGUGAAAUACCAGGGCUCAACUCUGGGGGGUCAUGCGAAACUGAAGGACUUGAGUGCAGUAGAGGAAAGCGGAAUUCCUGGUGUAGCGGUAAAAUGCGUAGAGAUCAGGAGGAACACCGGUGGCGAAGGCGGCUUUCUGGGCUGUAACUGACGCUGAGGCGCGAAAGCGGUGGGGAGCAAACAGGAUUAGAUACCCUGGUAGUCCACGCUAGUAAACGAUGAAUACUAGGUGGUAGGGGACGCAGGUCUUCUGUGCCGGAGCUAACGCAAUAAGUAUUCCGCCUGGGGAGUACGGCCGCAAGGUUGAA